rnacentral:rRNA from 1 species
GAUGAACGCUGGCGGCGUGCCUAACACAUGCAAGUCGAACGAAGCACCUUACCUGAUUCUUCGGAUGAAAGUUUGGUGACUGAGUGGCGGACGGGUGAGUAACGCGUGGGUAACCUGCCCUGUACAGGGGGAUAACAGCUGGAAACGGCUGCUAAUACCGCAUAAGCGCACGAGGAGACAUCUCCUUGUGUGAAAAACUCCGGUGGUACAGGAUGGGCCCGCGUCUGAUUAGCGGGUUGGCAGGGUAACGGCCUACCAAGGCAACGAUCAGUAGCCGGUCUGAGAGGAUGAACGGCCACAUUGGAACUGAGACACGGUCCAAACUCCUACGGGAGGCAGCAGUGGGGAAUAUUGCACAAUGGGGGAAACCCUGAUGCAGCAACGCCGCGUGAGUGAAGAAGUAUUUCGGUAUGUAAAGCUCUAUCAGCAGGGAAGAUAAUGACGGUACCUGACUAAGAAGCUCCGGCUAAAUACGUG